AUGGCAAAACAAUUUUGGAGCAGCUCCAUUGACAAAAAUGCUCUACAUUGGGUGUCCUGGAAGAACCUGGCUACACCAAAGUGCCAAGGUGGUAUGGGAUUUCGUGAUCCCCAUCAGUUUAACAUUGCGCUACUUGGGAAGCAUGGGUGGCGGUUUAUGACGAACCCUAAUUCUCUGUGCGCAAGGGUAAUGAAAGGUCACUAUUUUCCUGACACAGAUUUCUUGCAUGCUACUGUUCCCAAAUCAGCGUCUGCUACUUGGCGAGCUAUCAUUGCUGGCAGGGAAGCUUUACAAGCGGGACUUGUUAUGAGAGUGGGAGACGGGAGAUCCAUUAAUGUAUGGACGGACAAGUGGAUUCCUGGAACUAUCUCCAUGAAACCUUUGUUUAGACCUCCCAACACUAAUGUUCAGACAGUUUUGGAUCUCAUUGACACCGAAAACUGGUCAUGGAGGCAAGAUCUCAUUAGGACAACUUUUAUCGCCCCAGAUGCUGAUGCUAUUCUCAAUAUACCAAUCAGGAGGGGCGGAGGCCAGGAUUUUUAUGCUUGGGCCUUUGAACGAUCAGGCAACUACACUGUUAAAUCGGCGCACCAUGCUCUAGUGAAUCAAAACGAGCGUCUAGCUCUAGAAGAAGGGAUGGCUACCGGUGCUUCAACGGAUGAUAAACAGAUGUGGACAUCCCUGUGGAAACUCAAAGUGAUCCCAAAGGUACGGGUGUUUUGGUGGAGGGUAUUGCGGGGGAUUCUACCUGAUGAAUGUACCCUCAAGCACCGCCACAUCUCAGUUCAAGACACUUGUAAAGUGUGCAUGGCAAGAUAG
rnacentral:rRNA from 1 species